ensembl:lncRNA
UAACCCCCCUUUAUUAUGGACCCCCAGAGCAACAUGGACCCCUCCGCCCCCCUUCAAUAUACCAGACUCCAACCUGCAGCACCACUUUGUCCUGCUUCUCCUUAUUGGACCCAACAUGCGGCUGCAGCGCUUCGCGGAGCUGCUCAACUGCCAGCACAGCAAGAACACAUGAGACCUAUGGGGUCUAUGGGGUGCUAUGGGGUCCCAUGGGGUCCUAUGGGGUCCUGUGGGGUCCUGUAGGGUCCUAUAGGGUUCUAUGGGGUCCCUAUGGGGGUCCCAUGGGGUCCCUAUGGGGUUUAUAUGGGACCAGGGGUGAUGAUGUGGACCCAACAUGCGGCUGCAGCGCUUCGCGGAGCUGCUCAACUGCCAGCACAGCAAGCACAGCUGAGACCUAUGGGGUGCUGUGGGUCUAUGGGGUCCUAUGGGGUUCUAUGGGGUCCUGUGGGGUCCUAUAGGGUCCUAUGGGGUCCUAUGGGGGUCCUAUGGGGUUCUAUAGGGUCCUAUAGGGUUCUAUGGGGUCCUGUGGGGUCCUAUGGGGUUCUAUGGGGGUCCUAUGGGGUUCUGUGGGGGUCCCAUGGGGUUCUAUAGGGUCCUGUGGGGUCCUGUGGGGUUCUAUAGGGUCCCUAUGGGGGCCCUAUGGGGGUCCUAUGGGGUUCUGUGGGGUUCUAUAGGGUCCUAUGGGGUUCUAUAGGGUCCUAUGGGAUCCUCUGGGGUUCUAUAGGGUGCUGUGGGGGUCCUAUGGGCUUUAUAUGGGGUUUAUAUAGGACCAAGGGUACGUAUAUAGGACCAGGAGCAUCUAU